rnacentral:lncRNA from 12 species
GGCCCAUCCAAUUAACUCACUUGUCGAGAAAUCAGAAUAAAUAGUUGAGAGGAGACGUCUGGGGCUUCUGCUCAGACCUUUAUUUCUUAUUUGUUUGCCUGCUUAAGCAGGUCUGCAGUCACCAGCAUGUAGAUUUAGGGGCGAGGAGGAAAGAGUACACGUCUUCCCCCUUGGUCCUCCCCUUCGAGGGAAGAAAGGGGGCAGUUUCCCUGCCUCUUGGACUCGAAUUCUGGUGAGCUUCUGUCUUGGAAAAGUGUGGUGGAGGCAAACCUGGUGUGUUCGCGCGGGGUCUCAGGCUAGUGCUUUUGUUCAGUCAGAGACAAGGCCAGAAAUUUCUCCAUGUCCUUAGGUUUUCCCCUGUGGCUGGCAGGCGUUGGAGCCGUUAGCCGGGGACAGCCCAGCUGGUCAUGACAGCUGCCCAAGGGAGCCCCAACGCCUCAGACAAGUCCCCUGGCAGGGAGCGCCCCGGGGCACGUAGGGCACGGGCAGCAGCCACUGGCACCCGGGGUCACCCCUGAGGUGGGGCGCUGACAAGGCGCCCUGGGGAAAGAGGCCCUGCUGUGUCAGUGAGGUCCUGAAGAGAGAAGCCCCCGGGGACGUGGCAGGGGAGUCUCCUCAGGAAGAUGCUGAUCACCCCCUUCUCUGUGUGGACUCCCAGCCCUGUGCUUCUGGAACCGGCCUUCCCUAGGCUCCGAGCCAGGCCUCCCACCCCACUCCCACCCCAGCCUCCAGGCCACCUCCCCUUUCCAGCCUUUGCCCUCCCAGGUGGGGCUGACACCCCUGUUUCUCCCACAGUGGGGACAGCCUCAUCCGAGGCUAAAGUGUUUUCUGAUCUUUGCUCUGGUGAGCAAGGGCCCGGGGAACGAGGCCCCGGGGCGGAGGGAAGGGGGAAGGCCGAGCUGCCCGGGCAGCCAGUCAGCCAGUCAGUCAGCCAGUCGUCAGCCAGUCAGCCAGUCAGUCAGUCAGAAGUCAAAGGCUCUUUCUUCAAGGGCUGCGGUCUAACUUGCCUUUGUGCCGCGGCGCUGCUUCCAUUUCAAAGGCUUCGCCAGCGAAUCGCAAGAAUCAGAAGAGAGUCCGAGAAAGAGCAUUCCCUGUCUCAAUGCUCAAAGCACACCUCACAUAUUGGAGGAUGGCAGAAACACACAAGCUGUGUUAUCAAUAAAGGAGCUGACCAACACAGGCAAGUAUGAGUUUGAAAUUCUUGCUCUGGGCCAUAUGGAGUGGAUAUUCCAGAAGGAAAUUAUAUACUGCUCUCUGUUUCUACUCAACUGCUUUUCACUUUGUCAAGUGGACCCUUUGAAGCAGCCUUCUCCUUACCUCACAUUCUGACAUGAAUAAUUGUUUAAUUGCCUUUCAGUCUACACAAGAUAAGGAACCAUGUC